CAGUCGCCACGGUAAUACGUAGGUCCCGAGCGUUGUCCGGAUUUAUUGGGCGUAAAGGGCUCGCAGGCGGUUUCUUAAGUCUGAUGUGAAAGCCCCCGGCUCAACCGGGGAGGGUCAUUGGAAACUGGAAAACUUUAGUGCAGAAGAGGAGAGUGGAAUUCCACGUGUAGCGGUGAAAUGCGUAGAGAUGUGGAGGAACACCAGUGGCGAAGGCGACUCUCUGGUCUGUAACUGACGCUGAGGAGCGAAAGCGUGGGGAGCGAACAGGAUUAGAUACCCCAGUAGUCCCUGUCUCUUAUAC
rnacentral:rRNA from 1 species